rnacentral:rRNA from 1 species
UACGUAGGGGGCUAGCGUUGUCCGGAAUCAUUGGGCGUAAAGAGCGUGUAGGCGGCCCGGUAAGUCCGCUGUAAAAGUCAAAGGCUCAACCUUUGAAUGUCAGUGGAUACUGCCGGGCUAGAGUCCGGAAGAGGCGAGUGGAACUCCUGGUGUAGCGGUGGAAUGCGCAGAUAUCAGGAAGAACACCAACGGCGAAGGCAGCUCGCUGGGACGGUACUGACGCUGAGACGCGAAAGCUAGGGGAGCAAACAGG